GGUUAAGUUAGAAAGGGCGCACGGCGGAUGCCUUGGCACUAGGAGCCGAUGAAGGACGGUACAAACACCGAUAUGCUCCGGGGAGCUGUACGUAAGCUUUGAUCCGGAGAUUUCCGAAUGGGGAAA
rnacentral:rRNA from 1 species